GAAGGAUGUAAGAUAUGGUAGGCUCUUAGCACCAUGGAAGGCCUUUCUUUGGGAACUCCAAGUCUUCCUAAGUGGGGCCCAUGGCUGAAUACUGUGCUUCUCUCUAUGUCUGACCCCAUGUCUCUUGGUGUGUUCUGUCUUCCCACAGAGAGGCUGAGGGAGAGGCUGGGAUUCCAAAGGCUGCUAGGAUGUUUUCCUUGGUCAUCAUGGAGCAGGAGGAAGGGCUGGGCCAACACCACUACCACCAGCCCAGCUGAGGAUGGUUUCCAGGACCCCUCAGAGGAGCUGGCACUGACAGUUCUGUCUCCCAAUGGACACUGUGAGGACAUCGAGGGAAGGACAGGGGCCUAGAUGCCCCAGGCCACCACCCAGAUCCUGGAGUGACAGGCUGUGAGCACCAAUGGGACUUAGGACCUUUGGGUUCUGUUCCUGCCCCUGCCUCAUCUUGAAGGCUGGAGCUGGGCCGUUCCCUAUUCUAUGCUCCAAUCUGUCUCCAUCCCAAGUGGAAAGUGAUGGUACCUGCCACCUCUAUACCUUUCACUAGUGUGGUGAGACAGGGUUGGUGAUCAGAGAAGAAGUGUGCCUCACUGACCUGAGCAGCGGAUGGCAAAAUUGGGCUUUCUGGGAUCUGCUCCUAGCCCAGAGCUAUCUUACUCUGUGUUCAAGGCUGUUACUUCAUUACUCUAUGCCUCAGUUUAUCAGUCUGUAAAUUGAAAGGAAGAUACACCCACCUUGUAGUGGUGUUAUAUGAAGUCCCUACCUUGGGAAGGGUGACAUAGGACUUUGUAGAUCUACAGUGUUAUAGAAAUCUCCAUGUUGGUCAAUGUGCGUGAUGGGCUUUGCGUGUGUGCUCAGUCAUACACAUUCCUCAUUUCCACUAUCAUGUAGUGGAAAGAACAUUAACCUAGAAUUUAGGAUACCUAGGCUCUGACACUAGCUCACUAACUGAAAAACUAGGGGCCUCCACUGCCUUAUCUGUAGAAUGAAGGGAAUGGACCAUGUGACCUUAAAAGGUCUUUUCCAGCUAUGACAUUCCUAGAUUGCGUCCUCGAGAAUAAAUAGAUACACCUCGAGGAUAAAUAAAUACA
rnacentral:lncRNA from 1 species